UGGUUUCCAUAGCAUUUGCUACACUUUCAUUCUGUCUCACUUCUUUUUUUUUUUGUUGUUUUUUCUUUUUGCUCUCAAUAAAUGGCAGGUUCAAUUCAUUUUGGCUCCUGUAGUGUUUGCUACACGUGUGUUCUGUUUCUCUUCUCUUUUUUCCAUGUUGCCUGGCGGUGCCUCGCUGGAGUUCCCAUGAGCCCCGGGCCCACUUGUGACCAAGUGAGGUGCCAAAAACAGAGGAUUGGCGACUCCAGCACCACAAGUAGCAGGCAUUUUGGGAUGUCCAAGGUUCCGUAGUGAACGUGUCCUGUUCCUGGUAAAGGUGUGGGCGUUCCUGGACACGAAGGUAUCUAUCUUCCUGCCUUGCCCAUGUGCCCAGUCCCCCACCAGAUGCUGUUUGCCUUUUGGCCCCCCUGAUUUGCUGUACUGCUGCGCCCUGAUCCUUGCAGAGGGGCUCUCAUUGGUCACCGGCAGUGCCGUCCCGCCCUCAUGUGUCUCUCAUUGGUGAUCGACAGCACCGUCCCGCCCUAUCAGCAUCUCAUUGGUCAUCGACAG